rnacentral:lncRNA from 1 species
UUAAGGUAAAAAAAUCAAACAUUUUUGUAAAAAAAUUUUAGAAAAAUUUAUUUCUUAUUACAUAUAUGUGAAUACUUUAUUAUUUAAAUGACUUGUGGUAAAAGUUAACUUAUUUAUUGUCGGCGACGGCUUCACUAUAAUCUGAAUACGACGUGUUAGUGUUUGACUGUACUGACACAUUAUUCAUCUCAAAAGAAACUGUUGCCAUCGAAAUAUUCUUGCUCGACACGUACUAAGGCAUUUUGAAUACGUGGCCGCAAACUAUAUGCCAUCGUGCUCACUAUUGAAAAAUCGACGCUUAGUACACAACAGGGUCAGAAUGACUCUGCACCGACUUCGAAUAAUGCCCAACACCUAUUAGGUGCUGCGCUGUACAAAAGGAGCAUAUUAACAUAUACCCACACAGCACAUGAUAUCAUUCGUAUAUACUGAAUUGACACUGAAUAUACUGUAGAUAUCCAAGAUAUACUAAUAAUAACCAUAUAAUAUAUCUUGUAGUAUAUUAUUUUUCCAAUAUUCUCAGAAUAUAAGACAUUCAUCAAUAAUAUUGAGUCUAUUUAGCGGAUAUUCUCAGGAUAUACUAAAAUUAUCAGUAAUCCUAGACAACACGCAUGUCUAAAAGACGUCUUUAUGACGUCUUAAAAUCUUAUUUUAUACGUCUCUCUUAAGACGUCUAAAAUACAUCUUUUUUUAAAACAUCUUAUUUGAGACGCCAUUUAGAUGUCUUUAAAAUUUUUAAUAAAAUUUACGACGUCUUAGAAAGACGUCUUUAAGACGUCGAAUGACGCGCAUAACCAAAUCUGCCGUGUGAUACGAUCAAGUCGAUCGACGUGCUUAUCCCAUUCCCGUAUCAAUUUUUUGAACUCUCGCACGUACAUGUGUUGAGACGUUUUGUCCCGGUUUUCUGUGUAACGCAGUCGAGUGUGGAUGCAUUAAUCUAACACAAUUUUUUAACUCUCGCACGUGUAUCACGUGUGUGGACGGGCUGUACUGGAAAUAAAAUCUCCCAGCUAACCUUAGAUAUUCCUAAAAUAUUCGUGGAAAAAUACACGUGGGAUACUGUUUAUUAAGUUUGCAGCAAGAUUCGACCUCUUUCCGUGCUGGGUGCCAGUUGCCUGCUCGAUGACAUUGUGUGGUCAAUGCCGACUCGCGCCUUUGUUUCCAAUCCAGGACGCUUCGCACCUGUAUGAUUGUGACGUGAAAAUCCUGUUUAAGCUCCAUGGUGUGCUCCCGGAUACAUUGACCGGACACCGCAAUAGAUUCUCAAAGCAAUUCCACGAAUCAAAGAGUUUUUACAAUACAGUUAAACAUAUGCGGUAUUCUAAACAUUUGAUAACAAUUCCGUCAUUACCCGAGAAGCCACCUAACUUUUUAAUAUAAACUGAGUUAAUGUUACACCGAUAGUGGUACUUCCGCCGAAGGCAUCUAUUGAUUCGAUAGUGGUACUUCCGCCGAAGGCAUCUAUUGAUUCGAUAGUGGUACUUCCGCCGAAGGCAUCUAUUGAUUCCGAGACUGCCAUAGAUAAUCUUAUCGAUACAUCUGAUACAGAAUCAUUAACAGGCGAUCAGUUGGAUUCUGUAAAUACACGAAAUGACUAUAUCACCUGAUGCUCUUACACAAAGAGACAGCUUUAUUGAUCGCUCAAUUGUAUCAAGAAAAUGUUCUUCAAAGACGUAAAUAAUUUGUUAAUGGAUCAUCAACAAAUCAUCAACAAAUAGUUGCAGAUAAUGCAAUAUGAAACGCAACAGAUGAUCAAAUCUCAGCCCCGAUAAAGAUAUGGUUGGUCCAUGCAAAAGAACGCGCCGGAAAAGAAAAAA